rnacentral:rRNA from 1 species
AUUGAACGCUGGCGGCAUGCUUUACACAUGCAAGUCGGACGAGUGGCGAACGGGUGAGUAACGCAUCGGAACGUACCGAGUAAUGGGGGAUAACUGGCCGACACGACAGCUAAUACCGCAUAUUAGUCGAGCGGCCGAUGUUUGAUUGGCUGGUUGGCGGGGUAAAGGCCCAGCAAGGUGACGAUCAGUGGCGGGUCUGAGAGGAUGAUGCGUCACACUGGGACGGAGACACGGCCCAGACUCCUACGGGAGGCAGCAGUGGGGAAUUUUGGGCAAGGAGCGCAAGCGUGAUCCAGCCAUGCCGGGUGUCUGAAGAGGGCCUUCGGGUUGUAGAGGACUAUUGUCAGUGAAGCGGUACCUGAAGAAUAAGCACCGGCUAACUACGUGCCAGCAGCCGCGGUAAUUC